rnacentral:rRNA from 1 species
CUCCUUUGACGUUAGCGGCGGACGGGUGAGUAACACGUGGGUAACCUACCUAUAAGACUGGGAUAACUUCGGGAAACCGGAGCUAAUACCGGAUAAUAUUUCGAACCGCAUGGUUCGAUAGUGAAAGGUGGUUUUGCUAUCACUUAUAGAUGGACCCGCGCCGUAUUAGCUAGUUGGUAAGGUAACGGCUUACCAAGGCGACGAUACGUAGCCGACCUGAGAGGGUGAUCGGCCACACUGGAACUGAGACACGGUCCAGACUCCUACGGGAGGCAGCAGGGG